rnacentral:rRNA from 1 species
CACGUAGGGUGCGAGCGUUGUCCGGAAUUAUUGGGCGUAAAGAGCUCGUAGGCGGUGUGUCGCGUCGGCCGUGAAAACCUGCAGCUUAACUGUGGGCGUGCGGUCGAUACGGGCAUCACUGGAGUUCGGCAGGGGAGACUGGAAUUCCUGGUGUAGCGGUGAAAUGCGCAGAUAUCAGGAGGAACACCGGUGGCGAAGGCAGCUCGCUGGGACGGUACUGACGCUAAGGCGCGAAAGCGUGGGGAGCGAACAGG